AUGGCGGCCGAGACUUUCCUCUUCACCUCUGAGUCUGUGAACGAGGGCCACCCUGACAAGCUCUGCGACCAGGUCUCUGACGCUGUGCUUGACGCGUGCCUCGCCCAAGACGCUGACAGCAAGGUUGCCUGUGAGACAUGCACCAAGACCAACAUGGUCAUGGUUUUUGGUGAGAUCACCACCAAGGCCACUGUUGACUAUGAGAAGAUUGUGCGUGACACCUGCCGCAACAUUGGCUUCAUCUCUGAUGAUGUUGGCCUUGAUGCUGACCGGUGCAAGGUGCUUGUCAACAUAGAGCAGCAGUCUCCUGACAUUGCCCAGGGUGUGCACGGACAUUUCACCAAGCGCCCUGAGGAUAUUGGUGCUGGUGACCAGGGUAUCAUGUUUGGCUAUGCCACCGAUGAGACCCCUGAGCUCAUGCCCCUCAGCCAUGUGCUUGCCACCAAGCUGGGUGCCCGCCUCACUGAAGUCCGCAAGAAUGGCACUUGUGCCUGGCUAAGGCCUGAUGGCAAAACCCAGGUCACGGUUGAAUACCUCAACGAGGGAGGUGCCAUGGUUCCUGUACGUGUGCACACUGUUCUGAUCUCCACCCAGCAUGAUGAGACUGUCACCAAUGAUGAGAUUGCUGCGGACCUCAAGGAGCAUGUCAUCAAGCCGGUUAUCCCUGAGAAGUACCUGGACGAGAAGACCAUAUUCCACUUGAAUCCAUCAGGCCGCUUUGUCAUUGGUGGCCCUCAUGGUGAUGCUGGUCUUACUGGUCGCAAGAUCAUCAUCGACACCUAUGGUGGCUGGGGAGCACACGGAGGUGGUGCUUUCUCUGGCAAGGACCCAACUAAGGUUGACCGCAGUGGCGCCUACAUUGCCAGGCAGGCUGCCAAGAGCAUCAUUGCUAGCGGUCUUGCACGCCGCUGCAUUGUUCAGAUCUCCUACGCCAUUGGUGUGCCUGAGCCCUUAUCUGUCUUUGUUGACUCUUAUGGUACUGGCAAGAUCCCCGAUAAGGAGAUCCUCAAGAUUGUGAAGGAGAACUUUGACUUCAGGCCUGGGAUGAUCGGCAUCAACCUUGACUUGAAGAAGGGUGGCAACAGGUUCAUCAAGACGGCUGCUUAUGGCCACUUUGGCCGUGAGGAUGCUGACUUCACCUGGGAGGUUGUGAAGCCCCUCAAGUUUGACAAGGCCUCUGCUUGA
rnacentral:rRNA from 1 species